rnacentral:lncRNA from 1 species
UGUGGGGAAGAUGGGAGGGGAUGGGGGUAGGCCGCCGAGCAUCUCCUGCCCCGGAAUCUGGCACGCUGACGGGGACCUAGGGACAGACGACCGCACAACACGCCACGUUGCAGGCGCUGCCAGGCCAGGUGCCUCACCUAGCUCCUUCAUGUAUUCAUCAAAGCCUUUGCUGUCCACCAGGCGCCAUCUUCCUUCCAGCUGCUGAACUGUGGCCAUGGUGGGUGCGGGCGGGCUGGCGUGCAGAGAGGGGUCGGCGUGGCAGCGUGCUGUGAGGCACCCGGCGCCGGCGGCUGCUUUAUAACGGCAGCCCGCGCGGGGCGGCGCUAUGCGGCCAAUGGGAGGCGGGCCUCGCCCAGUCCCCGCCCCGCCCGCCGGGCGCCCCCCGGGCCUUCUCGGGGUCGGGAGGUGCUAACCAGCUCCUCUUGCCAGGGUACGCGACGGCCUCUCGGGCGCCUCCUGCAAGCAGGGACUCGCCCGGCGCGCCCCACGCCUCAUGGACGCCGGCGCCUGCACGUUUCGGCGCCUCUGCGGGCCCAGGAAGCCAGAGGGGUCACCUGGAGGCCUGGCCCCGCCUCUCCUGCACCCCUCCGUUUGACAACAUAUCCACCGCCGUUUUUCCUUUCAAAAUACCCGGACCAAUCGAUUAGCCGUCGCCGGACUCGGACUGCAGGAAGUGAUUGAUCGGCUGUUUGGUUUAUUGAUUCAUUAACUACGGUGCCUCCCUGACCUUCUGCUCCUCGCCAGCGCACAAGCUCACAAUCCACACCCUCCUGAGAGAACCUGCUCUCGCCAUCCGCAGGUCCCCUUCAGUUUAUGAAGUACUCCUGCAGUAGAAGUUCAUGGCCUUGAAAAAGCGUACUCAAAAUUACUCUAUUUCCACCUAGUGGUGAAACCGUAAUAUUUCUCUGAGGCUUUACUUGAUAAACGUGAGUAGUUUUUCAGCUUCUCAUUCUGUAAUCACACACAGCUUUGGAGCAUAUUGUGUCAUUUUUAUUUAAAGACAACUUCCCAGUUAAAGUUUAUGUACAUAGAUGUGCCUUCCACAAAGUUGAUUAUUGUAUAUCAGUUCUUCCUAAGGACAGUAAGUGUUGGUGGCUUAGCAACAGGCAGUUGGUAGAGAAAUGGAGAGUACCACAUUAAAUUAUUGCAGAGAAUAUUCAAAGUAAUCCAUUUUCAGGGAACUGAGUCUUCUCUAAGUACAUGGCCAGAUGAUCAAAAAAGGAAAAAAAUUAAUCACUAAGGUUGGAGAAUAUGUUUAUUUAAACCUAGUGUCUCACUUAAAUUUUAUAACUAGAUUUUUGACCCUCAUUCGUCUGGCUUUCCUUGCUAUAGACAUGCUUUGCAUACCCAGCUUCUAGCCACAUCUUCCCUAAGAAAAUUUCACCUGGAAUCAGUUCCAAAAGAAAAUCUUAAGAGAUAGAGUAUGGAUCUGCAUGUUGUCAGCUAUCUAAAGCAGCAAAAAUUCCUAGAUGAGAAUAAAAUCAGGGAACCUUGCAGUUUAAGGCACACCUUAAAUAUUAAAUUUUAAAUCCUUCAAUGCAUCCAGCCAAAACAAGAAAUUGCAAAUAGCUACCAUCCAUCAAUGCAAGGUUUUUUUGGUUUGUUUUUCAUAAUAAGAUUGGUUUUAAUUAAAGCACUUAUAAAGAUGGAGUUAUAUUUUGAACUUUGUCCUUUUACUUAAAGCAGUUAGAGUCUUACACAUCAUAACUGCCACGGCUAACCAUUAAAAUUUUCCAGCUCCUUAAAUGAUCCAUCAUAAACUUGUGCUUGCUGAGUUAACUGGACUAGAGGAUAGCUGGAGGGAAAAUGAGGCAUUGCAAAAGUUACAGUAAUAAAAGGUGAAUGGCUUCAAAAUAAGGCAGAGGACAUAAUGGCUCAUUUUAUAAUAAAAGAUUUCAGUAUAAAAUUCAUACAUUUCCCUUACUUAUAUAGAUCUUCCUACUUUCCAGACGUGUGUAUUAUUGUAUAUUACAUUUGUCAAUAGCUCAUGGCAACAGAUACACAUAGUUUGGGAUAACCCUUUUAUACCUCAUAUGAGCAGUGUUCAAAGGUUUAAAAGCACAACUCCAAAGGGCACAGCUUGAAAUGGAGCAGGAGGAUGCUAGCAAAGCCACCCCAAUAAACACAAAAUCUUAGUAAAAGCACUAUGUUUACCAGGCAAUGCAACUUCAAAACAAAUUCCUUAGCAACCCCAACCUCUUCAAGCCCGCUUCUAAUCACAUUAUUACUCCUAAGCCUCCUUAUAUACAAAAUCUUAGGCUGGCCAAGCCCAAAUACACAGACACAUUCAUAAUGAGCAUCUCUGUCCUUAAAAAAUUACAAACAUAAAAAACCUCCAAAUGAUAUGUUCCCACUGGAAGAGGCCAAAUUCUUUUCUUGUAGAUUACCCUUUUCUAUUUUUCAUUCCUACCUCCCAUGCAGUAUUCCUAGAUUCUCACACCAUUUGAUCAUUUCUCUAUUUUGAUAUUUAUCUAUAAGAAUUAAUGAUUUUUUUCAAGUCAAAUCUACAAAACCAUGGAUUUGCUUGCCUCUAAGCUAUUUAUCUCAGUGAGUCAGGCCCAUUGCUUCCAUUUUUCUGGAUUAGCUUUGAAGAAGAAUCAUCAGCACUUAAUAACCUACCUAAAUCCGACUGAAGAUGCUUUCUUAUCCUAUCUCUGGUCUUCCUACUUUGGCAGUGGGAAGAGCUACCCUGUAACUCCUCAGAGUCAUGCACAGAGCUGUAAAACCAGCGUGCAGCUGAUUUUGUGCACUUCUCUGAAGGACCCAAGCAGCAGGAUGGGUACCUUUUGUUCACCCACCCAUAGACACCACAGGACACUUUUUGUUCACCUGCUCACUUCUGCAUUGACCAAACUUAAAGAUACAGAUUCAACAGUAUGUAGGGGAAGUUUCCAGUAAAGUAUAUUCUGUUUUCUACAUUGGUUAAAUAUUGUAAUUUCAUGCGGGAACUGGGAGGCUAAGUAGUUGUUACCAUUAAGAAGGGCAACUGUGAUCUUACUUCCAGCCUAUUUUGGAAGGUGGGAUAAAAAAUAUUUGUGCCACAAAUCUCAAAUCUUGUCUCCUAUCUUACAACCUUGAAAUACAUAGUUAAUUCUGCAGGGUCUCAGACAUCCUACUGAGUUGCCAAAUAUUGAACACCAAGCUGGGCUUGUCAACACUCAGGGCUACAAAGAGGAGAUCUCAAAACUACCAUGGCCUCAGGAUUCUGAAUGUGGGUCUGAAAUCC